CGGGGACAACAUCUGGAUUUGAAUACAUCCAUGCUCAAAAGGAGAUUUCUCAUAAUGGACCCAACUGAAAGCACUCAGAGUACAAGGACCGGUGAGCUUUCAAAAGGAGACACUUCGGGAGACUCGCCAGGGGCCCUCGUAUCCCCGGCAGCGCGAGUUUUGGAGGUCAGUGGAGGGCUCUCGCAUCAUGCAUGUAACUUUCAUACUCAAAAACUUACCUUCAUCCUGCAUCCCUCACCCCCCUGCAGAAACUUGGGGCUUGAAUUCAUUUAAAAACAUUUGCGGUUUCAGAAGCCUUCUUUUUAUUAUGAAGCUGCCAAGGAGAUCUUAGAAUGAAAGGCAUUUUUAGAGAUGAGAAAGAAGGAAGCCAGGCCAAGGCUGGGCCGGCUCUCAGCCGUGGGUCUGUAAAGGUGACACGUGGGACAUGGCCACCUGCAGACCCUGCAGGCGGCUGGGCAGAGGCACCCACAGGGACCUGGGUUUGAAUCCCUGCUCUGCCAGUCAUUUCCACAGCGAUCUUGGGGGAAGUUGUGUAACCUCUGGGCCCUGCGACGCCCUUUCCUGGAGCCUGGAGCUGGAACGAAGCCCCUUGGAGCCCUGACAUCAGAGGUGACGUUAGUCUUCGCAGGCAAUGACUCGGCGGAAUGUGAUGCCACUCCCUAACCCGUGUCCGGACUGGCAGAGUGUGUGCCGCCUCCCACCAGGUGGUCUGGCUGCUUUGAUGGAUCUCCUAACUUCUCUGCACCCCAGAGCCCUCAGUGCUGGCCAGACCUUCACUCACUCCUGGGUGACAACCCCGUUCUCAGAUAGUGGGUCCCACAGGCUGGCCUGUGGCGCCCCCUGCUGGUGACUGCAGGGAGAAGGAUGCCCUAAGCCAAAGGAAGUCCUUCCUGGGGUCUAAUCUCUACCUUUUGCAUGAUGAGGCAGCUGAGGUGGCUCGCUUUCUCCUCCACCCCAGAAAAUAAAGUCAUAUGGAGUCCAA
rnacentral:lncRNA from 10 species